GUGAAUCAUCGAAUUUUUGAACGCAAAUUGCACUCUCUUCGGAGAGUAUGCCUGUUUGAGGGUCGGCCUAAAAAAAAUCGACAUAGUUGCUGUUACGCGGUAACAUUCGUCGGAAAUUGGGUCAUCUUAAACCUUUGGUUUUAAGGGGCUAAAAAUUUUUUUUAGGAUUCCAGUAGCGUUUCUAGGUUUUUAUUUUAUUAUCAGUUUAGGUUA
rnacentral:misc_RNA from 1 species